GGAGACAUGGCCGAGAGGUUGAAGGUACUCCCCUGCUAAGGGAGCAUACGGCUUAUACCCGUAUCGAGGGUUCGAAUCCCUCUGUCUCCGCCA
rnacentral:tRNA from 1 species